GAAGAACCUUACCAAGGCUUGACAUACACCGGAAACGUCUGGAGACAGGCGCCCCCUUGUGGUCGGUGUACAGGUGGUGCAUGGCUGUCGUCAGCUCGUGUCGUGAGAUGUUGGGUUAAGUCCCGCAACGAGCGCAACCCUUGUUCUGUGUUGCCAGCAUGCCCUUCGGGGUGAUGGGGACUCACAGGAGACUGCCGGGGUCAACUCGGAGGAAGGUGGGGACGACGUCAAGUCAUCAUGCCCCUUAUGUCUUGGGCUGCACACGUGCUACAAUGGUCGGUACAAUGAGCUGCGAUACCGCGAGGUGGAGCGAAUCUCAAAAAGCCGAUCUCAGUUCGGAUUGGGGUCUGCAACUCGACCCCAUGAAGUUGGAGUUGCUAGUAAUCGCAGAUCAGCAUUGCUGCGGUGAAUACGUUCCCGGGCCUUGUACACACCGCCCGUCACGUCACGAAAGUCGGUAACACCCGAAGCCGGUGGCCCAACCCCUUGUGGGAGGGAAUCGUCGAAGGUGGGACUGGCGAUUGGACGAAGUCGAA
rnacentral:rRNA from 1 species